rnacentral:rRNA from 1 species
AACAGUGGUAGGAGAGCGUUCUAAGGGCUGUGAAGCGAGACCGGAAGGACUCGUGGAGCGCUUAGAAGUGAGAAUGCCGGUAUGAGUAGCGAAAGAGGGGUGAGAAUCCCCUCCACCGAAUGCCUAAGGUUUCCUGAGGAAGGCUCGUCCGCUCAGGGUUAGUCGGGACCUAAGCCGAGGCCGAAAGGCGUAGGCGAUGGACAACAGGUUGAUAUUCCUGUACCACCUCCUCACCAUUUGAGCAAUGGGGGGACGCAGGAGGAUAGGG